AUCAAGCACUGGAAGAAGAUUUUUGGGGGGAGAGCAGGCACCCAACAGAGCGACAAAUCCACCACGGCAUGAUUAUCAACUUCAUUAUUGACAAAGAAAGGAGAACAUGUCACCAUCAUGAGCCCUUUAUUUAGUUCACGGAAGAACAUCAAGGGAAAGACCCUCAGACGUGUCAUAACAGGAUAAAUGUGGCUACAGGACGCAUCACCCCACCCCAUCCCAGAUUGACCAAGGAUCCAGAUGAGUACUGGCAAUUUGGUGGAGGAUUGCUCUUUAUCUACUACAUUGUACUGUCACUUCCGAGGCUCUUAAGAAGACAACACAGAUCAACUGGCAAGGAACUGAGAGGGAACUCUCAAAAUAGUCCAGGACAAGAGAUGGAGGAGGAGAGUGUCUAGAUGCGCAAAUGACUGUCUGCAGUGUAAGCUGUACUGAUAAAUGUACUGUAUAGUUGCUGCUUCUUCUAACUGUCACCAAUUUAUAUCCUGUUCAAAUGUUCAGUAAAGACUGGGUCAAAUACAGGUUCAAAAUAUGUAUUUUAACAAAUAGGUAUUAAAUAGAUACUCUUUAAUCUGACAUAAAUCUGCUUCUUUAAAUAUUGUCCCUGGAAUUUCAGAAUAUAGCAUAAUAUGAUGAUGAGUAAUUUUAAUAAAAUUGAAAAUAUUUCAAUA